GAGCUCAAUUCAGCAGCACAUACACUAAAAUUGAAAUGAUACAGAGAAGAUUAGCAUGGUCCCUGUGCAAGGAUGACAUGCAAAUUCGUGAAGCAUUCCAUAUUUAA
rnacentral:snRNA from 1 species